AGAAUAAUGUCACAUGGAUUUUGAGUCAACAGGUCACAUGACUUGGAAGCUAUUGAAGAAAAACCCUAAAUUUUGACCAAAAAAAAUGUUAAAAAAA